rnacentral:lncRNA from 1 species
AAUUCUCCGGAGGGCCUGAGGCGGCGGUGGACAGCCCCGGCAACAGUGGGCCCUCCCCGCAGAACUGUGGUUCCAAUCCCUCUCCACCCAGCCCAGGAGUCUCCUGGCCCCAGAAGGAGGAGCAGGAGGCGCCAAAAAGAGGAAAAAGAAUUCCUUUUCCAGUCAUUUCAGUCCUAAAUUUUCCCUGAGACUGCCAGAAAAGAUGCUAAUGAAAGACCAAUUGUGUGGCCAGAGUGUUUUCUUCGGACAUCUGCCCAGGGAACUGGAGGAUACCCAGUUCAGAAGCGAGGUCACUAGCCCCAUCCUAUGGCAACACCUUUUGCUCGCUACUGACCCCUACUGGGGAAGUGGAGACAAGCGGCUGAGGGCUGGGAAGCAGCUGAAAGAAACUAGACCCAGACAUGUCUACUGGGUUCUUAAAUCCAACAUCUGCUGUUGGAGGAUGAG